GAGACGUGUGCUGCUCUCUACGAAAACAGAAGCCACGAUGCGACCCUACAAAAGGCCUUCGCUUCGGAAGCUUUCGCCGAGACUGGAAGGCAACUGUGGGACCGCGUUUUGGUGGCGUGGGUGAGGACGGGGGUCUGGGGUGGUGGCACUUGUACCUCUCCUUACAGGAGGAAUGGGCAGGAGGGUGGUGGCUGACGCGGCCAGGGCAGCUUGAACACAAAUGACGCAUUCUCCAUGAAAAGGGCUUGUCCUCAGACCCCUGUCUAUGGUCCCCUGGCUCUGCCAGCACCCUGCGGCCAUGUCAAGUAGCAUCCCUAGGGGAAGCUGGGUGCGGGACGCCUGGGCUUCCAUGAUUUUUAUGAUUUUAAAGUCAAAUGUUAUAAUAAAAAGAGAGAGACCCGAAGACCUAUCAACCAGAUGCAAAAAAAAUGGUUUGAGACUGUGCAAGCCCCCCACCCGCCUCCCUCUCACCUCUGGGGACCUCGGAACAUACCCAUCCACAUGGGCCCCAGAUACGUGCUGGGCCUCGGCCAUGCUCAAGCCCACUGUCAAGCCAGCCCUGUGGACAGAGACCUCAGCCCGUCACAGAACAGCAGUGGUGGCGGCUCCCCCGCAUGACGGGAGGGCCCCGCCCAGGUGUCCCCAGCACAUGGGGACCAGAACAAGUCACAUGAGCCAUGGCCUUGAACCUGUGACCCCUGCCCACUUGAAGCCAUAACCCUUUUUCUCUGGUACGUCAAUGAGGUACAAUGUCCCCAAAGGAGGGUCGUAGGGGGCAGUCCCCUGGCCCCUGAGCUGUCCACACUGGGAGGAUGUUUGCAUCCUCCAAAGCCCCAUGCCCUUCACACAGCCAGCCCGGCCCCCCCAGUGAGACAGGUGUGGCUUUGAGGCUAACUUCUGCCCACAGAACCCAUAGAAUGUGGCAGGAGCGACCUGCGUCACCUGCCUGCCUGAGCCAUGAAAAUGUCCUCUUCCCCAUCACUAUCCAUUAAAACAACAGUGCUUCAGUCCGUCCUGGACCUGCACUACGCACCCUACGGACAUUAUCCAUCAAUGCUCCCGACAGCCGUGGUCCCCGGGACCCAUUUUGUCCCCAUUUUGCAGGCAAGGACACUGAGGCACACCGAGGGAAGUUACUUGCCCCAACUCAUACAGCUCAGACGUGGCGGGGUUGGGCCUCAAGGUCAGCAGUGUGACCCUGGGAUGCAGCCUCAGGCCUCCGGGGGACGGAAGGUCUGCACAGUGCACCCCAGCCUCGUACGACGGCAUGGGGCAGAUGGCGGCAAGGCGUGCUUCCGCUGCACCGAGCCCCCAGCCCACGCUUGGGCCUCUGGGGAUGCCCAAUGAACUGGCCUGAAGCGGCCUCCCCUCCCGAUGGACACCCGGGCCUCAUGGACCCCAGUGCUGGCCAGUGGCCGGCAUAUUCACUGGUCCGGCACUGGACACGCUACACUCAUGGGCUUUCCUUGGUCUUGGUGGUGCCCACAGGAGCUGGGCUGCAGCUGGGGGCUGCCGGUGGGGGGGCGCUGUGCAGCACCGCUCCCCCAGAGCCCACCUGUGAGCUCGCCGUGACCCAGCAAGGACCCCAUUAGGCCUUGCGUCCGGCUUUGCACAGGACGUCUCACAGUUCCAAUUCCAGAUCGUGGCGGGGCCGCAGUCACUUCUCCUCUGCGAGCCUGUGUGCAACCGAGCAGUGACAGGAAGGACGACUGAGUGGUGAGGCUUCGAUGUCCCGCACACACUGACUCCCAUGCACACCGUCUGGAGGUGGCGGGUCUCCAUCCCCACACCUGCUACAGCACCUGGCCGGGUUCGGGAACAGACGAGUGAAUGAACGGACGAGUGCGCACACGAAUGCACAGACGCGAUGCUCCAAUCAGCUGUGACGGACAGCUGCCCACCUGAGCGGGCCCGCCCCCUUCGCACCUGCAGCCUCGCCCUGUGUCCUGCUCCCCUCUGCUCCGCCUUCAGCUCGUGUCCCUCGCACGUCCCUGGUCUCACCGGGGGCAUCCCUUCCUCCCAGGGCCUCGCUGCAGGCACGUCUAUCUAGGAAGACUUCCAGAACGCUCCCCACCUCCAGUCUAGGUUGGCGGCCAUUCCGCGACCCCACAGAUCCUGGACAUAGUGUUGAAUGCAGCCCCCAAAGCAUGCCAGGAACUGUGACUGUGACCUCGCUUGGGGAAAGGGCCUUUGCGGAGGUAAUUAAGAGCUCGAGAUGAGAUCAUCUCGGAGUCUGUGAGGGGGCCCGAAAGCAAUGACGCACGUCCUCGGGGGAAGAAGAGAGGUGACGCACAGGAGAAGGCCACACGAAGACGGAGGCGGAGAUCAGGUGAUGCAGCUAUGGGCCGAGGCAUGACGAAGAUGCCAGCGAAGCCCACAGCCGGGAGAGGCAGGGAGCAGAUGGCCCUCGGCCUCAGAAGGAACCAGCCCUGCCGACACCUGAUCUCGGCCUCCGGCCUCCAGGCUGGGAGGCAACAAGUCUCUGCUGUCAGUCACCGGUCGGCGGUGCCCUGUCGCGGCUGCCCCAGGAAGCAAAUACCCCGACUGCCAGCAGCUCUCAAGCUUUUUCCUGUCUGUCACUCUCAAAGUCCACAGUGCCCCCGAGGGCAGGCACGUGGCUAUCUGCUCUGUCUCCGGGCCCCACCAGGAUGGACGAAGAAUAGCUCCGGGGAGGGCUGAACGACGGUCCACGCUGUUCCUGCCCAACGAGACGUCCUCCCGCCCGACUGCCGUGCCCACUUCCAAUGUCCCCUGGGAGCCACCCUGGACUCACAGACCACUCUCCUCCUCUGUUUCCGCAGGAAAGGCCACCUGUACUCAUUCUUGUUAUCGGUUGAAGCACGUCCCCCCAAAAGGUGUGGAAGUCCCAGCCCACGGUACCUGUGACCUUGUUGAAAAAUAGGGAAACUGAAGUGAGGUCGUUAGGUUGGGCCCUAACGCGAUGUGACAAAAAGAGGAGCUUGGACACAGAGCAACGUGCACGGAGGGAGGGCGAAGCGAACACAGUGGAAGGAGACUGGCCACCUACAAGUCCAGGGGCUACUGGAGCCACCGGAAGCCAGGGCAGCGGACCCUCCCUCGCGGCUCUCGGGAAGAAACCACCUGCCGAGACCGUGACCUUGGACUUCCGGCUCCCGGUGAGAAAUCUCUGCGGUUUAACCACCCUGGGUGGUCAUCUGCUAUGGUGGCCCCAGGACAGUGACACCUCUUUUCCAGACGAGGACACCGAGGUUCAGCUUAUUAGAGGUGACGCAGCUGGGAACCGGAAGGGCUGGGGCCCAUUCGGAGAAGGGUCGGGAGGCUCCUGGGGUGGCUCCCUGAAGGUCUCCUACACGCCGCUCCCCGAGAGCCGCCUCAGGAAAUGCUGGGGUCCCGCCGUGGGCGGAGACGGGUGACAGCCCUCCGUCAGUCAGGCGCCUUUCGCAGGCACGAAACCCAAUGUUUAAAACAGACAGCUGAGAACGACGCUUCGAAAGGGCUCCUAUCAAUCUAACCAGUCAGCAGAAAAUGACUAAGAACAUCGCCGAUCCAUGGAAAAUGGCGUUUUCGCAUCAAAUCUGUCUCAGGGAUAAUGUGUAUUUCAAUAGUGUUUCUGGCUGGAAGAGCUGGCAUUUUCCGCCUCUGUCCUCGGCAGUAACAGAAUUUUUCCUCUGGAGACGAGGCCAUCACGUCAAACCGAGGAGCCCGGAACGAAGGAGACACAGCUGAAGGCGGAGGGUGGCCUGUGGUGACACCCGGCUGGCAGGGCCGAGACUGGGCCCCGGUGGGCCCCGGACAAUGUCCUUUGGCUUUAUGGAGUCCAGACAGGCUGGCCACCCCAAAGGCCAGCCUCGGGACAGUCGGGAGAGCAGGGGAACCGGUGGUCAGGUACCAGCUUGGGAGGGAGCCGCUCGGGGCCCAUCUGACCUCUGCGAAGACUAAUUUAUCUCCCCACGAAAGCGAGAGGGAAGGACAAUGCCACCCUGUCCCUGUUUCGAGAAUCGACCCCCUUAACCAUCUAGGGAGCAAGAUGGCGUCUGGGAGCCCGAGACACCUGCCUCCCUAAGGUGUCUCCAUAAGAACAUGAGCCGCCUCCUCCAGAAGAACAUUAACAAUGACAUUUGACGGCCGCGUUGGUAUAAAGGAGAACA